rnacentral:rRNA from 1 species
UACGGGGGGGGCAAGCGUUGUUCGGAAUUACUGGGCGUAAAGGGCUCGUAGGUGGCCAACUAAGUCAUACGUGAAAUCCCUCGGCUUAACCGGGGAACUGCGUCUGAUACUGGAUGGCUUGAGGUUGGGAGAGGGAUGCGGAAUUCCAGGUGUAGCGGUGAAAUGCGUAGAUAUCUGGAAGAACACCAGUGGCGAAGGCGGCUCACUGGCCCGGUACUGACGCUGAGGUGCGAAAGCGUGGGGAGCAAACAGG